GCACAAGUAGUAUUGUGGUUAGUACUCCACGUUAUGGCAGUCUCGACACAGGUUCGAUUCCUGUCUUGGGCA
rfam:Toxocara canis scaffold1940, whole genome shotgun sequence.